GUGCCAGCCGCCGCGGUAAUACAGAGGCCUCGAGCGUUGCGCGGAAUCACUGGGCUUAAAGGGUGCGUAGGCGGAUACACAAGUGCCUUGUGAAAUCCCCGGGCUCAACCCGGGAACUGCUUGGUAGACUGUGUGUCUUGAGGUCGGUAGGGGUCGCUGGAACAGUUGGUGGAGCGGUGAAAUGCGUAGAUAUCAACUGGAACGCCAAAGGCGAAGGCAAGCGACUGGGCCGAUUCUGACGCUGAGGCACGAAAGCGUGGGGAGCAAACGGGAUUAGAAACCCCCGUAGUCC
rnacentral:rRNA from 1 species